AUGGAUGGACAUGACAAAAAGAAUCCCAUUCUCCUGCUUAAAGAAUUAUGCCAGGAAGCACAAGGUUUGGCAGGAGUACAGCUAAAAGAAGAUGGGUUUUCAUCUCCUUUUAAGACGUUUUCAAUACCAUUUCCUGAAGAGGCAGUAAAGAAGUGCUCUAACAAAGCACUUCUUUUGCAGUUAUAUCAUCAAUACAGCACGAGUUUGGAAACGAUUUUGAAUAAAUGUCCUCUAGAAGAUUUGAAAGUGGACCCCCAAAUGGUUGCUGAUGCCUUCAAUAAUCAAUUUCUAAGAACUAUACAAUUACUUCCUGUUGAAAACAAUCUCAAGAUCAAGGAGCAGAAUCCUUCUGAUAGUUCUGGGAAAGAAGAUUCUAAAAAUGACACUGUAGAAGAAGACAGUCCUUCACCAGAUAAUCAGAAUUCUCGUACUGCAAAGAAAUUCUUCCUUGAACCCGAAGCAAAAGAUCUGCUUGAAAAAGUAUUUAAAGUUAAAAAGUGUCCUAACACUUCUGAGCGAUUAUUCAUCGCUCAGAAGCUUGGUCUAACUGCUUCUCAAGUUAGGAUAUGGUUUACAAACAAACGUAUGCGUACGAAAUCUAAACAGAAGAAAGUAAAACCAAUAGCUGGUCCUAUUAAAUAG
rnacentral:tRNA from 1 species